AUGCAUUCGCUUGUAAACUGGAAGACGGUCUGCCGCCCCAAAGUGCUCGGGGGGCUCGGCAUCACCGACCUGGAACGCUUCGGGAGGGUGCUAAGACUUUGUUGGCUAUGGCAUCAAUGGAACGACCCUGCGCGACCUUGGGCCGGAUCCCUGCUGCCUUGUGAUGCUUCCGACUUCUCCCUAUUCAGGGCCUCCACAUCAAUCACCCUUGGGGACGGGUAA
rnacentral:rRNA from 1 species